rnacentral:rRNA from 1 species
ACGCUGGCGGCAGGCCUAACACAUGCAAGUCGAGCGGCAGCGACAACAUUGACCCUUCGGGUGAUUUGUUGGGCGGCGAGCGGCGGACGGGUGAGUAAUGCCUAGGAAAUUGCCCUGAUGUGGGGGAUAACCAUUGGAAACGAUGGCUAAUACCGCAUAAUCUCUUCGGAGCAAAGAGGGGGACCUUCGGGCCUCUCGCGUCAGGAUAUGCCUAGGUGGGAUUAGCUAGUUGGUGAGGUAAUGGCUCACCAAGGCGACGAUCCCUAGCUGGUCUGAGAGGAUGAUCAGCCACACUGGAACUGAGACACGGUCCAGACUCCUACGGGAGGCAGCAGUGGGGAAUAUUGCACAAUGGGCGCAAGCCUGAUGCAGCCAUGCCGCGUGUAUGAAGAAGGCCUUCGGGUUGUAAAGUACUUUCAGUCGUGAGGAAGGCRUUAGYGUUAAUAGCRCURKMGUUUGACGUUAGCGACAGAAGAAGCACCGGCUAACUCCGUGCCAGCAGCCGCGGUAAUACGGAGGGUGCGAGCGUUAAUCGGAAUUACUGGGCGUAAAGCGCAUGCAGGUGGUUCGUUAAGUCAGAUGUGAAAGCCCGGGGCUCAACCUCGGAAUUGCAUUUGAAACUGGCGGACUAGAGUACUGUAGAGGGGGGUAGAAUUUCAGGUGUAGCGGUGAAAUGCGUAGAGAUCUGAAGGAAUACCGGUGGCGAAGGCGGCCCCCUGGACA